UGCGUAGGUGGAAUAUUAAGUCAGUGGUGAAAUCCUGCGGCUCAACCGUAGAACUGCCAUUGAUACUGAUAUUCUUGAAUGUAGUUGAGGUAGGCGGAAUGUGUAAUGUAGCGGUGAAAUGCUUAGAUAUUACACAGAACACCGAUUGCGAAGGCAGCUUACUAAACUAUGAUUGACGCUGAGGCACGAAAGCGUGGGGAGCGAACAGGAUUAGAUACCCUGGUAGUCC
rnacentral:rRNA from 1 species